rnacentral:lncRNA from 1 species
AAUCCUAGCAGGGACUCUAAACCCUAACUUACAAGUAUCUAAGUACUAUUUUCUUCAUAUCUCAAAAAUCCAAAAUUCAAAUGCCAAAAAGUUAACUAACAUGGCUAUACACAUUCUUCAAAAUUUUGAGCCAAAAUCUUGUCAAAGUACUUAAGAUAUAGCUCAAAAUACAACCAUUAGUAAAUCGGAUCACUUAUUAUCCUUAGAUUUGUAAGCAUUGAUUUCAACCUCCAAUAUCUUCUUUAUUCCAACUUAGAAUCUAUCAAAUAAUAUGCCAAAAAUAUAGCCAAAAAAGUUAUCACUCCAAUAUCAAUUGCCAAUUCUUUAUUUCUUUUUGUAUGUGUACGUUAUAUCUAAAAGAGUGACACUAGGUACAAAAUUAACACCUUAACUUUGAGUUCCCAUGUCUCUUUUAUAUAAACUCCAAAUCACACAAAAUUUUCACCAAAACUAUAGCCAAAAACCUAAACUUACUGACCUUAGCCUCUAAAGCUCAAACGGCCC